CUUGUACUCCCUCCGUCCGGAAAUACUUGUCAUCAAAAUGGAUAAACGGAGACGUAUCUAGACGUAUUUUAGUUUUAGAUACAUCCCUUUUUAUCCAUUUUGAUGACAAGUAUUUUCGGACGGAGGGAGUAUCAA
rfam:Triticum aestivum genome assembly, contig: Triticum_aestivum_CS42_TGACv1_scaffold_222825_3B